rnacentral:rRNA from 1 species
UACGGAGGGUGCGAGCGUUGUCCGGAAUCACUGGGCGUAAAGGGCGCGUAGGCGGCCUGAUAAGUAGGGGGUGAAAUCUUGCGGCUUAACCGCAAGGCUGCCUUCUAAACUGUCAGGCUAGAGCACAGUAGAGGCAGGUGGAAUUCCCGGUGUAGCGGUGGAAUGCGUAGAGAUCGGGGAAGAACAUCAGUGGCGAAGGCGGCCUGCUGGGCUGUUGCUGACGCUGAGGCGCGAGCAGCGUGGGGAGCAAACG